rnacentral:rRNA from 1 species
UACGUAGGGUGCAAGCGUUAAUCGGAAUUAUUGGGCGUAAAGGGCGCGUAGGCGGCUUUGCAAGUGACGGGUGAAAGCCCUCGGCUUAACCGAGGAACUGCCUGUCAGACUGGAUGGCUUGAGACCGGGAGAGGUGAGUGGAAUUCCCAGUGUAGCGGUGAAAUGCGUAGAUAUUGGGAGGAACACCAGUGGCGAAGGCGGCUCACUGGACCGGAACUGACGCUGAGGCGCGAAAGCGUGGGGAGCAAACAGG